UAAAUAACCUGGUAGGGGAGAUGUCAUGAUCACGGAGGUGGUUUUCCCAGGGCGAGGCUUAUCCAUUGCACUCCAGAUUUUCUGACCCCUGCGGUUUCCCCAAAUGUGGGAAACUCCACUGCAUAAUUUCUGGUAGUGGGGACUGAGUUUGUGCUUUCCUCU
ensembl:snRNA U1 U1 spliceosomal RNA